CGUUCCUUCGCCAAUUCUAUUGAGUUUUUCAAAUUCAAUAACAUUUCGACAACAACCAAAGCGAUAUUUUUCUGGCACAACAGUUUUGCUUUCUUCUGUGAAAGAUUCCAUUUCCAGAAAGGCAGUUGAUUUGGCCAGUGUGGGAUCCUCCAUAAUAUUUGUGUCAACUCUGAUAAGUGAUAUUAUAUCUAAUUUCUGCUUUUGGCCUGCACUUUAAUAUGGUAUAAAUAAUCCACAGACCACACAAAACAAGACAGAAAACUUUUAUAUAGUCAUAGUGUUGAAUCAAAAAAGAAAAACAUUUUCAAAAGUCAUAUAUAUAAAACACUA